rnacentral:rRNA from 1 species
CCAGACUCCUACGGGAGGCAGCAGUGGGGAAUAUUGCACAAUGGGGGGAACCCUGAUGCAGCGACGCCGCGUGAGUGAAGAAGUAUUUCGGUAUGUAAAGCUCUAUCAGCAGGGAAGAAAAUGACGGUACCUGACUAAGAAGCCCCGGCUAACUACGUGCCAGCAGCCGCGGUAAUACGUAGGGGGCAAGCGUUAUCCGGAUUUACUGGGUGUAAAGGGAGCGUAGACGGCAGUGCAAGUCCGGAGUGAAAGCCCGGGGGCUCAACCCUGGGACUGCUCUGGAAACUGUAAAGCUGGAGUGCGGGAGGGGCAGGCGGAAUUCCUGGUGUAGCGGUGAAAUGCGUAGAUAUCAGGAGGAACACCGGCGGCGAAGGCGGCCUGCUGGACCGUAACUGACGUUGAGGCUCGAAAGCGUGGGGAGCAAACAGGAUUAGAUACCCGUGUA